GGAGGGAAAUCAACCUCUUUCGGGCAACGAAUGGGCAACGCGCUAUGUUUUGCUAUUAUUUACAAUGGCUCGUGACGGUCUUGAAAACCGACGUAGUGAAAGCUACCGUGGGUUCGAAUCCCACCCCCUCUGCCA
rnacentral:tRNA from 1 species